GGAUAGCUCAGCUGGCUAGAGCGUGGUGCUGAUAACACCAAGGUUGCAGGUUCGAUCCCUGUAAGAGACA
rnacentral:tRNA from 1 species